GAUGAAGAACGUAGUGAAAUGCGAUAAGUAAUGUGAAUUGCAGAAUUCAGUGAAUCAUCGAAUCUUUGAACGCACAUUGCGCCCCCUGGUAUUCCGGGGGGCAUGCCUGUCCGAGCGUCAUUGCUGCCCUUAAGCACGGCUUGUGUGUUGGGCCUCCGUCCUCCUCCCGGGGGACGGGCCCGAAAGGCAGCGGCGGCACCGCGUCCGGUCCUCGAGCGUAUGGGGCUUCGUCACCCGCUCUUGUAGGCCCGGCCGGCGCUUGCCGACACAUCAAUCUUUUUUCCAGGUUGACCUCGGAUCAGGUAGGGAUACCCGCUGAACUUAAGCAUAUCAAUAAGCGGAGGA
rnacentral:misc_RNA from 1 species